AUGUAGAGUUGGUUGUCGCUGGCCUCUUCACGGAGGCAUGUGCACGCCUUCUCUUUCAUCCACACACACCUGUGCACCUGUGAGACGGGGACCUCUAUUUUUUCUUUCGUUAGGAGGAGGGGAGGCUUCCGUCUGCCAAUACAUAAACUCAUAUAUUUUUAAUCUGAAUGUAAUUGAUGUAACGCAUCUAUAAACUAAGUUUCAACAACGGAUCUCUUGGCUCUCGCAUCGAUGAAGAACGCAGCGAAAUGCGAUAAGUAAUGUGAAUUGCAGAAUUCAGUGAAUCAUCGAAUCUUUGAACGCACCUUGCGCUCCUUGGUAUUCCUUGGAGCAUGCCUGUUUGAGUAUCAUGAAAUUAUCAAAGCAAGUCUUUUGUUCACUCAAUCGGCUCUGUUUUGGACUUGGAGGUCUGCAGAUUCACGUCUGCUCUUCCUAAAUGCAUUAGCUGGAUCUCAGUGAGCUCGGUUCCACUCGGCGUGAUAAGUAUCACUCGCUGAGGACACCCGUAAAAAAGGUGGCCGGGAUUGCAGAUGAACCGCUUCCAAUAGUCUAUUAAAUUAGACAAUAUACUUUAUGAUCUGAUCUCAAAUCAGGUAGGACUACCCGCUGAACUUAAGCAUAUCA
rnacentral:rRNA from 1 species